ACUAUGGUGCCAAUAAAGAAAGAUAAUGAUGUUGCUUGGUAUUUAGCUUUUGUUAAAGCAACUAGUAGACAUCCACUAGUUGCCCAUGUAAGUGUUAGUUGUUUGGAAAUGUCUUCUUCAUUUAGUAGUGUAUGGGAGAAUGUUGAUAUGUCACCGAAUAUAUGUUCUUCUGUUUCCAAUGAUAAAGUUAUAAGAGACAUCUCUUAUUAUUAAAGGAAAAAAAGUUCAUUUGAAAGUAAAGAAGUGCUUUCAAAGUAUUUUGGCAUAAUAACAGUGAAUACCAACUUUCAAUUUAGGACUAUAACAUCAAAUUUGAGGUCUUUUGAAUUUAGUUAUAAGCAAGAAUGUUGCAAAUGGUAUGUUAGGGCAUCUCGUUAUAAGAAGAGUGAUUUGUGGAUGCCAUGAAAAUACACUUCUGGUCACGAUUGCAAUGAAAAUACACUUCUGGUCACGAUUGUUCAUUGAGUACUGUCCAAAGUUCUCACAUGCAAACUUCUUCAACAGUAAUUGGUAGUUAUUUGAUAGAUAAUUUUAGAUUCAUGUCUACUUAUUGUUCCAUUUCUAAAGAGGUUGUGCAUAAGGCUCGUAUAAAUCUUUGAGUUAAUAUAAGUUACCAACAAGCUUGAAGGGCGGAAGAACAUAUGGUAAAGAUAUUACAAGGUGACACAGUUGAAUCAUAUGCAUUGAUUCCAAGCUUCUUUGAUAAAUUGGUUGAAUCUAAUCCAGAAAUGAUCAGUUUAUAUAUCAAAUUUAAAUUCAUUUGUAGAUAGAUGUGGAUAGACUAAUAUCGUAGUCUAUAUAAAUAGACAAAUAUUAGCAUUUAUCACAUUUGUUUUGUUCUUUUUUGUUUGUGCUGAUAGAAAUGUGUUUGUAAUUAUUAUAGGUACAUGCACUGCUUUAGAAAUGGAUGAUAGUGGUCAUUUCAAGUUUUGCUUUAUGACUUUUGGUGCAUCAAUUGAGGGGUGGAAAUAUUGUAGACCUAUAAUUUAUGUUGAUAGGACAUUUUUGAAGUGUAAGUUCGGUGGCAUCCUAUUAACAACCUCAUCACAAGAUGCUGUGCUUAUGCCUACACCGUUGAUGAAUUUGAGUACCACAUGAGAUGCUUGAAGUCUGUUUGUUCAAAUAUUAGAGAUUAUCUUAGUAGUGUUGAUUUUGAGAAGUGGUUUCGGGCAUAUUCACGUAGACGAAGGUGUAGAAUGACAACAUCAAAUUGUGCAGAAAGUGUAAAUUCAAUGUUUAAAGAUCUUAGAGAGCUACUGUGGCUAAGAUGCUUACUUCAAUUAGGGAUGUAUUACAUGAACGAAGUAAAGUUGCUUCUACAAUGAAGAGUCCUUUUACUUCUUGACCUGAAAUGUUAUACGUUUAGAACAUGAAAAGUUGAGAAAAUUAUUGGUUGAUCCAAUUAGUACGAUUGAAUACGAAGUAACGGAUGGAAAUCAACAGUUUAUUGUGAAGUUAAACGUGGGAUGUUGUAGCUGCCAAGUAUGAGAUGUUGAAGAAAUUUAUUGUGCGCAUGCUCUUGUUGUUCUACGAAUGCUUAAUUUAGAUACUUGUAUGUAUCUGAGUUUUAUAUAGAAAAACGCUAUCAGCAACAUACAGUGGUUGUAUUCAACUUGUUGGAACUCAUUUCGAUUGGAGAGUUGAAAAUUCUAUCAUGAAAAUAUUAUCUCUAGUCUUUAAAACACAAGCUGAAAGACCAAGGAAACAAAGAAUUUCAUCUGUUGGCGAAUUUAGUAGUUCAACCAGGUGUUCCAAUUGUAAUC